AACGCGAAGAACCUUACCUGGGCUCGAAAUGCUGUGGACCAGCUUAUGAAAGUAGGCCUUCCCGCAAGGGACCGCAGUAUAGGUGCUGCAUGGCUGUCGUCAGCUCGUGUCGUGAGAUGUUGGGUUAAGUCCCGCAACGAGCGCAACCCUUGUCCUGUGUUGCCAUACUGUUAAAAGUGGAACUCGCAGGAGACCGCCAGGGAUAACCUGGAGGAAGGUGGGGAUGACGUCAAGUCCUCAUGGCCUUUAUGUCCAGGGCUACACACGUGCUACAAUGGACGGUACAAAGGGCUGCCAACCCGCGAGGGGGAGCCAAUCCCAAAAAACCGUUCUCAGUUCGGAUUGCAGGCUGCAACUCGCCUGCAUGAAGCUGGAAUCGCUAGUAAUGGCGGAUCAGAACGCCGCCGUGAAUACGUUCCCGGGCCUUGUA
rnacentral:rRNA from 1 species